ACCAUGGAGAGUUUGAUCCUGGCUCAGGAUGAACGCUGGCGGCGUGCCUUUCACAUGCAUGUCGAACGGGGUGUCCUUCGGGGCACCUAGUGGCGGACG
rnacentral:rRNA from 1 species